rnacentral:rRNA from 1 species
UAGGGAAUCUUCCGCAAUGGGCGAAAGCCUGACGGAGCAACGCCGCGCGAGUGAUGAAGGUCUUCGGAUCGUAAAACUCUGUUAUUAGGGAAGAACAAAUGUGUAAGUAACUAUGCACGUCUUGACGGUACCUAAUCAGAAAGCCACGGCUAACUACGUGCCAGCAGCCGCGGUAAUACGUAGGUGGCAAGCGUUAUCCGGAAUUAUUGGGCGUAAAGCGCGCGUAGGCGGUUUUUUAAGUCUGAUGUGAAAGCCCACGGCUCAACCGUGGAGGGUCGUUGGAAACUGGAAAACUUGAGUGCAGAAGAGGAAAGUGGAAUUCCAUGUGUAGCGGUGAAAUGCGCAGAGAUAUGGAGGAACACCAGUGGCGAAGGCUACUUUCUGGUCUGUAACUGACGCUGAUGUGCGAAAGCGUGGGGAUCAAACAGG